rnacentral:rRNA from 1 species
CCUACGGGUGGCAGCAGUAAGGAAUAUUGGUCAAUGGAGGAAACUCUGAACCAGCCAUCCCGCGUGAAGGAUGAAGGGGCUCUGCCUUGUAAACUUCUUUUGUCUGGGGCGAAAAAGCUCGAUUUAUCGAGAACUGACGGUACCAGAAGAAUAAGCACCGGCUAACUCCGUGCCAGCAGCCGCGGUAAUACGGAGGGUGCCGGCGUUAUCCGGAGUAAAGGGGUUUUAGGCGUGCGUAGACGUCAUAGGUGAAAGGCUGUGGCUUAACCAUGGAAUUGCCAUUGAGACUGCAGAGCUUGAAUGAGGUUGAGGUUGGCGGAAUGUGACAUGUAGCGGUGAAAUGCUUAGAUAUGUCAUGGAACACCGAUUGCGAAGGCAGCUGACUGGACCUAUAUUGACGCUGAGGCACGAAAGCGUGGGGAGCGAACAGGAUUAGAUACCCGUGUAGUC